GAGGGGAUGGCUCAAGUGGUAGAGUAUGCGCUUAGCAUGCACAAGGUCCUGGGUUCAAUCCCCAGUACCUCCU
rnacentral:tRNA from 1 species